GACGAACGCUGGCGGCGUGCUUAACACAUGCAAGUCGAACGGAAAGGCCCUGCUCUUGUGGGGUGCUUGAGUGGCGAACGGGUGAGUAACACGCGAGUAACCUGCCCUUGACUUUCUGAUAACUUCACGAAACUGGGGCUAAUACCGGAUAGGAGCUCUUGCUCCGUGGUGUGGGUUGGAAAGUUACGGCGGUUGGGGAUGGACUCGCGGGUUAUCAGCUUGUUGGUGGGGUAGUGGCUUACCAAGGCUGAGACGGGUAGCCGGCAUGAGGGGGUGAACGGCCACAUUGGGACUGGGAGACGGGCCAGACUGCUGCGUGAGGCAGCAGGGGGGAAUAUUGCAGAAUGGGACGAAGCCUGAUGGAGCGACGCCGCGUGCGGGAUAACGGCCUUCGGGUGGGAAACAGCUUUGGCCUGUGACGAAGCGUGAGUGACGGUAAUGGAUAAGAAAGCACCGGCUAACUACGUG
rnacentral:rRNA from 1 species